CGGGACGGGUGAGUAAUGUCUAGGGUAAUCGCCUGAGGGAGGGGGAUAACUACUGGAAACGGUAGCUAAUACCGCAUAACGUCGCAAGACCAAAGAGGGGGACCUUCGGGCCUCUUGCCAUCGGAUGUGCCCAGAUGGGAUUAGCUAGUAGGUGGGGUAACGGCUCACCUAGGCGACGAUCCCUAGCUGGUCUGAGAGGAUGACCAGCCACACUGGAACUGAGACACGGUCCAG
rnacentral:rRNA from 1 species